UGGCGACCGGCGCACGGGUGAGUAACGCGUAUGCAACCUGCCCGAUACCGGGGUAUAGCCCAUGGAAACGUGGAUUAACACCCCAUAGUACUUUUAUCCUGCCUGGGAUGUGAGUUAAAUGUUCAAGGUAUCGGAUGGGCAUGCGUCCUAUUAGUUAGUUGGCGGGGUAACAGCCCACCAAGACGAUGAUAGGUAGGGGUUCUGAGAGGAAGGUCCCCCACAUUGGAACUGAGACACGGUCCAA
rnacentral:rRNA from 1 species